ACGGGUGAGUAACACGUAUGCAAUCCACCUGUAACAGGGGGAUAACCCGGAGAAAUCCGGACUAAUACCCCAUAAUAUGGGCGCUCCGCAUGGAGAGUUCAUUAAAGAGAGCAAUUUUGGUUACAGACGAGCAUGCGCUCCAUUAGCCAGUUGGCGGGGUAACGGCCCACCAAGGCGACGAUGGAUAGGGGUUCUGAGAGGAAGGUCCCCCACAUUGGAACUGAGACACGGUCCAA
rnacentral:rRNA from 1 species